CUAUUCAAAAUCGUCUGAACGGGACUCCGUGGAGACUCGACUUUGUUGAAAAUUUUGCCAACUACCCCAGUUCAGUCGAAUAAAUAGGAAGAAGUUGAGGAAGGGCUUGAGUUGAAGACGAACUGACGAAGAGAAGAUCGUAGGCUGUGUGUUUGUGAGGGAAAUCUGAUUUCAGGGUUUGAUUGUUUCAUUUUUUCUGUUUUUUUCAUUUAGUUAUUACUUAUUUUCUAUUUGGGCGGCUGAUUAUGAGGGUUUUCCACAUAUUAGCCUAUUUGAAUAGGCCCAAUUACACUAAUAAGCUAGACGUACUAUUUUUUUCAUGAAUAAUCUAAUGGGAUGGGAUAUUUCAAAAAAGAGAAAAAAAAAAAGGGCCAAAUGUCACAUAUGACCCUUGCAUGAAAGGCAAAUAUUCAAGCAAUAUUUCAGCAAAUUUCACCAACGCGCCUAAUUCUUUUCCUAUAUGGCAAACAUUCAGCAAAAGCUUCAGAAUCCCUUCCAUUUGUGCACCAUUUAGAAGAGGAACACAGUGUCGUCGACUAAUUGAGGGUUUCUGAAGCUUAGUUUCGCCGGAAAACACCAUUCUUCCCGCCGAUAAUCUUAAGAAAUCGAAAGAAAGACAUCAUGGCCCGUGUCAAGCUUCCUGGGCACUGUAUUGAUAGCGGCAGAAGUCAACGAUUAUUGGGAACUUCAAGUAGAGUAAUAUCCUCAAAUGAGGGAGCAACUAUAAUAAUUGAAUUUAGAGAGGAGUAAUUUAAGAUGUCAAAAUCUUUGAAAAUUCGUGAAGUUGAUAGGUUUCCUGGGCAAGUAACGUGUCUGGCCCACGUUGCCAAUGCCAACAAGAUUGUAAAGCAGAAGCUUAUCGGAAGGCAGUUAGAGAUGUACAAGAAAACAGUUUUUGCUUUCUUUGUAGACACUAAACUUGUAUUCAACAACCUAUUAAUCCACCAUAUG